UCCAGGCCUCCAGACAGCACGUGCACUGUCUGCCCUGAGUGUGGGCUGGUUCUGCCACAGGGGGAUCUUUAGAGAGAGAAGGUCCCGUCUGAGCCGAUGGGGACACUGAGGCACAGGGACCCACAAGUGAGGUGGUGUGAGAUGUGACUGCAGGUACUUGGACCCCAGAGCCCAGCCUCAGCCAAUGGUGUUUCUGCCCCCUCCUCUACCCCCACCACCUCUGCUGGCAUCUGCCCUGGCCUGGCUCCUGGACUCGGGCAACACCAUCCUCUGGGCUCCCUGGAGGUUCCCAGCUGACCUCUGCAGGAAGAGGAAUGAGCGAGGAGUUGCCUGGAAGGCUGGAUAGAGGCUUCUGGAGUCUUCUGGAACAGCAAGGAGCUGUGCCCGGUUUGGGAAAAUUAAAUCGCAAGGCCGGGAAUGUGCAUGGCAUUCUGAAAGAAAGAAAGCCCACUUCAGGCUUUCCAGAAAGAGGACCGCAGUCGGGGGAACACCAACAAUGUGGGCAAAAACGCAACUGCCUGAGCCCUCGCUCAAGGGUCAAGAAUUUCAAGCCGAGGACAGCACAGCAUCGAACCAGGCACGGAGCCCUGCUGAGCCCGGGCCUGUGUGACCGCAUGGGCGCGCACCGCAGAAGCUGCUCCCCCCGUGUCCUCAGUUUCCUCCUCUAUAAAAUAGACCUCGAUGUACAUGUAACCUAAAUAUGUCCAGUAAUCACAUUAGAAAGAGUAAAAAGAAAUAGGUGGCAGUAAUUUUAAUAACAUAUUUGAAAGUCAUGUUUAACCUAAUAGAUCCAAAAUGUUACCAUUCUGACAA